rnacentral:snoRNA from 1 species
UGGGAGACGACGAUUCUUUCCCCAAAUGAUCGACUCCGAUUCAAACAAGUGCUGUCAUCUGUUUCGACAGAGCUUUGCCAGAUUUACCUGAUCCCU